rnacentral:rRNA from 1 species
GACGAACGCUGGCGGCGUGGAUUAGGCAUGCAAGUCGAACGGUAUCAUCCUUUCGGGGGUGAGAGAGUGGCGAACUGGUGAGUAACACGUAGGUUAUCUACCCUCAAGACGGGGGACAACCCAGGGGAAACUUGGGCUAAUACCGGAUGUGAGCAACUUUUAGUUGUUUGAAAGGUGGCGUAAGCUGUCGCUUGGGGAUGAGCCUGCGUCCUAUUAGUUAGUUGGUGAGGUAACGGCUCACCUAGGCAAUGAUAGGUAGGCGGCCUUAACGGGUGGUCGCCCACACUGGGAUUGAGAUACGGCCCAGACUCCUACGGGAGGCAGCAGUCGAGAAUAGUCUACAAUGGUCGGAAGACUGAUAGUGCGACGCCGCGUGAACGAUGAAUCCCUUCGGGGUGUAAAGUUCUUUUAUAUGUGAGCAGUGCUUCUUAUAUUAACAGUAUGGGGAGAGAGAUAUUAGCAUAUGAAUAAGCAACGGCUAACUCGUGCCAGCAGCCGCGGU